rnacentral:rRNA from 1 species
UACGUAGGUGACUAGCGUUGUUCGGAUUUAUUGGGCGUAAAGGGUCCGCAGGGGGCCGGCUAAGUCUGAUGUGAAAUACCAAGGCUCAACCUUGGAACUGCAUUGGAAACUGGUUGGCUAGAGCAUCGGAGAGGAGAUUGGAAUUCCUGGUGUAGCGGUGGAGUGCGUAGAUAUCAGGAGGAACACCAAAGGCGAAGGCAGAUCUCUGGACGAUUGCUGACCCUCAGGGACGAAAGUAUGGGGAUCAAACAGG